rnacentral:rRNA from 1 species
AGGAAUAUUGGUCAAUGGGCGCGAGCCUGAACCAGCCAAGUAGCGUGAAGGAUGAAGGUCCUACGGAUUGUAAACUUCUUUUAUAAGGGAAUAAAGUCACCCACGUGUGGGUGUUUGUAUGUACCUUAUGAAUAAGCAUCGGCUAACUCCGUGCCAGCAGCCGCGGUAAUACGGAGGAUGCGAGCGUUAUCCGGAUUUAUUGGGUUUAAAGGGAGCGUAGACGGGCCGUUAAGUCAGCUGUGAAAGUUUGAGGCUCAACCUUAAAAUUGCAGUUGAUACUGGCGUCCUUGAGUACGGUUGAGGCAGGCGGAAUUCGUGGUGUAGCGGUGAAAUGCUUAGAUAUCACGAAGAACCCCGAUUGCGAAGGCAGCCUGCUAAACCGCCACUGACGUUGAGGCUCGAAAGUGUGGGUAUCAAACAGGAUUAGAUACCCUGGUAGUCCACACGGUAAACGAUGGAUACUCGCUGUUGGCGAUAGACUGUCAGCGGCUUAGCGAAAGCGUUAAGUAUCCCACCUGGGGAGUACGCCGGCAACGGUGAAACUCAAAGGAAUUGACGGGGGCCCGCACAAGCGGAGGAACAUGUGGUUUAAUUCGAUGAUACGCGAGGAACCUUACCCGGGCUUGAAUUGCAGACGAAUUGCUUGGAAACAGGCAAGCCGCAAGGCGUCUGUGAAGGUGCUGCAUGGUUGUCGUCAGCUCGUGCCGUGAGGUGUCGGCUUAAGUGCCAUAACGAGCGCAACCCUCGUGUCCAGUUACUAGCAGGUUAUGCUGAGGACUCUGGACAGACCGCCAUCGUAAGAUGUGAGGAAGGUGGGGAUGACGUCAAAUCAGCACGGCCCUUACGUCCGGGGCUACACACGUGUUACAAUGGGGGGUACAGCAGGCAGCUACCGGGCGACCGGAUGCCAAUCCCGAAAGCCUCUCUCAGUUCGGACUGGAGUCUGCAACCCGACUCCACGAAGCUGGAUUCGCUAGUAAUCGCGCAUCAGCCACGGCGCGGUGAAUACGUUCCCG